GUGAUAAAGAGUCGUACAAAAACCUCUGUCAGUCAGACGUCACAGUGACUGCACUGAUACAGCUGAGAGAAACUGCAGCUGCUGAUGGAGGAUCACACACUACACAAUAUCAAUGUCUAGCAAACUUUAUAAAGACUUUAAAGGCUUUUUCCAGUUACGAUAACCCUCGAAUGAGGUGAAAACUGUCAUUGGAGCAUCGGGGAGGAAAAAUGGCCACCAGCAAAGCAGUAACGGCAUCUUUCGAGUGCGAGUAAUCUAACCAGGGAUGAGAUUUGAACCAGUCGCUUCUGCUGGAGGGUCUUAGGGAAACUGUUGCCCAUUCGCUGCACUACAAUCGCUUUCCGGACCCACACCUGAGGGCACACAGAGCCUGAGAACGAGAGCCUGAGUCGAUGCACUGCCGUGCUGUCUGUCGUAGGAGCUUUUGCAGUCCACCCCGGGAAUCAGAAGCGCUCCGCCUUUGUAACUAAUCUGUCUGUGUUUCGUGAAGCUAUCCGGUACUUGUUGACCGACCUACUAAAUAAACAUACCCCUAUUUUUGACACGA